GAUGAACGCUGGCGGCGUGCCUAAUACAUACAAGUCAAGCGAACAGACGAGGAGCUUGCUCCUCUGACGUUAGCGGCGGACGGGUGAGUAACACGUGGAUAACCUACCUAUAAGACUGGGAUAACUUCGGGAAACCGGAGCUAAUACCGGAUAAUAUAUUGAACCGCAUGGUUCAAUAGUGAAAGACGGUUUUGCUGUCACUUAUAGAUGGAUCCGCGCCGCAUUAGCUAGUUGGUAAGGUAACGGCUUACCAAGGCAACGAUGCGUAGCCGACCUGAGAGGGUGAUCGGCCACACUGGAACUGAGACACGGUCCAGACUCCUACGGGAGGCAGCAGUAGGGAAUCUUCCGCAAUGGGCGAAAGCCUGACGGAGCAACGCCGCGUGAGUGAUGAAGGUCUUCGGAUCGUAAAACUCUGUUAUUAGGGAAGAACAAAUGUGUAAGUAACUAUGCACGUCUUGACGGUACCUAAUCAGAAAGCCACGGCUAACUACGUG
rnacentral:rRNA from 1 species